rnacentral:rRNA from 1 species
AUUGAACGCUGGCGGCAGGCCUAAUACAUGCAAGUCGAGCGGAGCGGCGGACGGGUGAGUAAUGCCUAGUAAUCUGCCUGGUAGUGGGGGAUAACGUCCGGAAACGGGCGCUAAUACCGCAUACUUUCAGUUGAGCCUCGGUCGGAUUAGCUAGUUGGUGGGUGAAAGGCCUACCAAGGCGACGAUCCGUAACUGGUCUGAGAGGAUGAUCAGUAAAACUGGAACUGAGACACGGUCCAGACUCCUACGGGAGGCAGCAGUAGGGAAUAUUGGACAAUGGGCGAAAGCCUGAUCCAGCCAUGCCGCGUGUGUGAAGAAGGUCUUCGGAUUGUAAAGCACUUUAAGUUGGGAGGCGUUACCCGCAGAGGAAGCACCGGCUAACUCCGUGCCAGCAGCCGCGGUAAUUC